AGUCGUAACAAGGUUUCCGUAGGUGAACCUGCGGAAGGAUCAUUAACAAAUCCGUGGUGGGGGUGUUAGUGUUGUGUCUGAAGAGAUGCGAUGCGCGCCGCCACGACAUGAACCGGAUCUCCGAGAGGAGAUUCGCCUGUGGACACUGCUGGCGUGUGCCGGUGGUGCCUGCAGAAAUAGGCUAUGCUUGUGUGUCUUAUAACAAAGUAAUAUCAAUCAUAAACAACUUUUAACAAUGGAUCUCUUGGCUCUU
rnacentral:misc_RNA from 1 species